CGCUGGCGGCGUGCUUAACACAUGCAAGUCGAACGGAAAGGCCCUGCUUGCAGGGUACUCGAGUGGCGAACGGGUGAGUAACACGUGGGUGAUCUGCCCUGCACUUCGGGAUAAGCCUGGGAAACUGGGUCUAAUACCGGAUAGGAGCCAUUUUUAGUGUGAUGGUUGGAAAGUUUUUUCGGUGUAGGAUGAGCUCGCGGCCUAUCAGCUUGUUGGUGGGGUAAUGGCCUACCAAGGCGGCGACGGGUAGCCGGCCUGAGAGGGUGGACGGCCACAUUGGGACUGAGAUACGGCCCAGACUCCUACGGAGGCAGCAGUGGGGAAUAUUGCACAAUGGGCGCAAGCCUGAUGCAGCGACGCCGCGUGGGGAUGACGGCCUUCGGGUUGUAAACUCCUUUCGCUAGGGACGAAGCUUUUUGUGACGGUACCUAGAUAAGAAGCACCGGCUAACUACGUG
rnacentral:rRNA from 1 species